rnacentral:rRNA from 1 species
UACGUAGGGUGCGAGCGUUGUCCGGAAUUAUUGGGCGUAAAGAGCGCGUAGGCGGUGUGUCGCGUCGGCCGUGAAAACCUGCAGCUUAACUGUGGGCGUGCGGUCGAUACGGGCAUCACUGGAGUUCGGCAGGGGAGACUGGAAUUCCUGGUGUAGCGGUGAAAUGCGCAGAUAUCAGGAGGAACACCGGUGGCGAAGGCGGGUCUCUGGGCCGAUACUGACGCUGAGGAGCGAAAGCGUGGGGAGCGAACAGG